AUGAAAAAUCUCAUAAAUAAUAUUUUAGGGAGACCAAAUAGAAAGAUGGACAGAGACCUCAAUGAAGGGAAACUCCUAAGGAGAGCCUCGCUCUCAGAACAGAUAAGUCUCAGAGACAUCAUGAGAGAACUCCAGAAGAUGCAGGAAACGCAGAGUAUGUACCAAAAAAUUUCGCAAGAGCAACUCCUGGAUUUUAAGAAUGAUAUGCAACAAGAGUUAGGUACAAUGAAAAGGGAAAUUCACAACAUCCAACAAGAGAUCAAAGAGUUGAGACAAGAAAAAGCAGAGCUGAGAACCGAAUGGAAGAGCAACUUAGAACAAACAGAGUUAAAGGUUGAAAGCAUAAAAGUCAAGAACGAUCAGUUAGAACAAAGGCAAGACAGAAUGGAAACAAAGGAAUUAGAAUUCCAGCUCAGAUUCCGGAAUAUCAUAGAAGAAAGAAACGAAGAUAUAAGACAAAUAACUUCAGAAAUAAUUGCCCAGAUAUUAGAAUGCACACAACAAGAGGCAGAAGAUGGCCUAGAUAGAAUGUACAGAAUAAAUACAAGAUAUGCGAGAAGAUUCAAUGUACCGAGAGACACCAUUGUAAGAUUUGUGAAGAUGACUACAAGAGAUGAAAUACUGAGAAGAAGUUACGAGAAACCAAUCAUUUACAAAGAAAGAAAAAUAGCGAUUCUAAAGGAACUUCCUUAUGCAGUGCUAGAAAAAAGGAAAAAAUACGCAAACUUAACAAAGGAACUAAGGAGAGGUCAAAUCAGAUAUAGGUGGGAAAAAGUGGAAGGGUUAACAAUCUUCUACAAAGAGCAAAGAUGGUCAAUUAACACAGAAGAAAAAGCAAACGAAUUUCUAAGAAGACUAAUCCAAGACGGGAAAAAAGGGAAAGAUCCGGAUAUAGGCCACACGGAAAAGAAAAAAAGAGCCCGAACGGAAUCUCCGGAAAAGACAAAUUCCGAACCUGAAAUGGAGCUGGAACAAUUACCAACAGGAAAAGAAGCACUAACCAAAAAUAUUCCAGAGAAGAAAGACUGCGUCGACCACUAA
rnacentral:lncRNA from 1 species